rnacentral:lncRNA from 1 species
CCUUCAAUUUUUCUAAAUUGAAUGCAGGGUUGAUUAUCCUUCUGUGCUUGCUCCACUUUUCUCCCUCAUGGUUAACAAGACCAGUAGAUAGUAACUUGACAAGAGGAUUCAUAUUAGGUUUCGGGAAAUCAUUGAUCUUGUUAAGUACAUCUUUGAUAUGCUCAGGAUCUGUGAGGGUCACCCUUGGUAUUGGCCCAAACCAGAUGAAAGAAUUCUUUCCUGCAUACAAUUAGCAACUUUAUAUGCCUUAAAAUAAGGAUUAAAAAAGUAAUAACAUUAGAAAUUGAAGAGAAUAUGCAACUUUGUUUGUUCACAAAUUUGACUUUCACAUGAAUUGCAAAGCAUAGGAACCUUUGGGUAAUAAUCCCAAAGUUUUUACCUUUUCCAAGAGUUGUUGACAAUUUAAAAAAGUCACUCAUGGUGCUGAUUAGUGUUGUUCAUAAAUAAUUUCACUGAAAACAAGUGUGACUACAAGAAUACAUAUUCCCACUACAGUUAUCAUGCUACAAAAUUAACAUCCAAAGGAAAGUCACAUAUUUCCAAUUUAGAAAUUCUUCUGAAGAGAUGCUUCUGUGAGAAUGUUCUGAUUUUUAGAAUUGAUUCUGAGAAAAAAGAAGAUCAAAACAGGAUAUAAGAGGUGUAUAAAAGGCUAACGAGAUGAAUCACACAAUUACAAAAUUUGAAACAUAGACAUACCAUAUUUGUUGACACUGUUUUGGACAUAGGAAAACACAUGGGGAAUUAUAUCAUCUGAGAGACUCAUGGGUUUGGAUGUAGCUUCCUUUCUCAUCUUGAGAACCUCAUUUAAGUCCCCAACAUAAAGCUUGUAUGGAUUCCCUUUAAGGCCUUGUUCUCUUAGCAGUCUCUCUAGCUUCUUUGGACUCAGCCAUAGCCAGUUCAGCAUCCUCCAUGCCCAUAUCAGAACAAGUAUCAGCAAGAUAAGAAUUAUGGUUGCACUUGUGGACCAUGUUGUUUCCAUUUUUCUCUGUGUGACAGAGAAGAUGAUAAUAAAGUAAAACCAGAAGCUUAUGUGAUUAUGUUUGAACUUGAAGUACUAUAUAUGCGGUGGGUGCAGCACCUUUUUGCAAAGCUAUCCUUUAAUCUACGUUUAAUCUAAUUCACAUCUUUCUCAAAUUUUUUGUCUUCUUAAAGAUAAUCUAACCAUAGGCUAGUAGUGCUAAAUAGUGUGAAAGGAUCAAUAUAUGCAAGAAAACAACCAGACUAAACGUAACCAAUCACAACUCUCACAUAAUUGUAUGAUUUGACAGUUUUGAUACGUUUCCUAAGAACAUUUUCCUUUUACACUAACAUCUCUAGUACUCAUCUAACUUUUCAGUACACUGUUCAAGACAAAUAGACUAGAAAUUAUGAUGUUUUUUUUCACUUGAAUAAUUAUAUAUUGGUCGAUUAUGAUGAAGUUAUAAUCCAUGAUAGAAUUUAGAAAUCCCUCAAUUUCCAUGCUAAGAAACAUGUAAUUGUCUACGAAGAAUUUAGACAUCUCUCAAUAAAUUCUUCUUCAUAUAGACAUCGUCCAAUGAUCAAACCAUCGGUUAAAUACUUAAAGAGUCAAACAACCUACGAAGUUGGCUAGAACUUAUUGGUGAAUAUCAUUUUCCUAAUUGUUUAAAUGUGAUUUUAACAUUAACCCUCACAUAUUUUUUGGGUUACACUUCAAAAAUACAUUAACUACCAUUCUUGCAGUUAACAUUUAUCCUUUCUUCUCUGUAAAUGUAACAAUUAACCAUACUUAUAUGCAUGAUGAUAAGGAUGACAUGUUAACUACCAGUCUAGCAGUGUAAUUGUCUUAAUUUGUAAACUCACACGUUAGAUUAUUAAAAAUAACCUAACAAGAAGAAGAUAAUUACGUGGCAAAUAAUAUAAUCAUCAGAUUUUACUAAAAUAAAUGAAGGGUUAUGAUCCUCUCACAUGACAUGUUCAUGUGGGAUACACAUAAGAGAGGAUCCAAAUCCAAGAAUCUCACCUUUUGGUAGUCUUCUUUUUCUUGAAAUUUAUUUUAUCACAACCAUUCUUAUUUGCCUGAACAAACAAAAAUCUCUGGAAAUUAACACUUGUCAUCAAGUCCCUUGAGUUUGAUUAUUUAAAUUCUUUCCUAUAUUUGGGUGGGUGCAGCACCUUUUUGCAAAGCUAUCCUUUAAUCUACGUUUAAUCUAAUUCACAUCUUUCUCAAAUUUUUUGUCUUCUUAAAGAUAAUCUAACCAUAGGCUAGUAGUGCUAAAUAGUGUGAAAGGAUCAAUAUAUGCAAGAAAACAACCAGACUAAACGUAACCAAUCACAACUCUCACAUAAUUGUAUGAUUUGACAGUUUUGAUACGUUUCCUAAGAACAUUUUCCUUUUACACUAACAUCUCUAGUACUCAUCUAACUUUUCAGUACACUGUUCAAGACAAAUAGACUAGAAAUUAUGAUGUUUUUUUUCACUUGAAUAAUUAUAUAUUGGUCGAUUAUGAUGAAGUUAUAAUCCAUGAUAGAAUUUAGAAAUCCCUCAAUUUCCAUGCUAAGAAACAUGUAAUUGUCUACGAAGAAUUUAGACAUCUCUCAAUAAAUUCUUCUUCAUAUAGACAUCGUCCAAUGAUCAAACCAUCGGUUAAAUACUUAAAGAGUCAAACAACCUACGAAGUUGGCUAGAACUUAUUGGUGAAUAUCAUUUUCCUAAUUGUUUAAAUGUGAUUUUAACAUUAACCCUCACAUAUUUUUUGGGUUACACUUCAAAAAUACAUUAACUACCAUUCUUGCAGUUAACAUUUAUCCUUUCUUCUCUGUAAAUGUAACAAUUAACCAUACUUAUAUGCAUGAUGAUAAGGAUGACAUGUUAACUACCAGUCUAGCAGUGUAAUUGUCUUAAUUUGUAAACUCACACGUUAGAUUAUUAAAAAUAACCUAACAAGAAGAAGAUAAUUACGUGGCAAAUAAUAUAAUCAUCAGAUUUUACUAAAAUAAAUGAAGGGUUAUGAUCCUCUCACAUGACAUGUUCAUGUGGGAUACACAUAAGAGAGGAUCCAAAUCCAAGAAUCUCACCUUUUGGUAGUCUUCUUUUUCUUGAAAUUUAUUUUAUCACAACCAUUCUUAUUUGCCUGAACAAACAAAAAUCUCUGGAAAUUAACACUUGUCAUCAAGUCCCUUGAGUUUGAUUAUUUAAAUUCUUUCCUAUAUUUGCUCUUCAAUGUGAUUUUAGGGUAACAAACACAAAUCAAACAAAUAAACUAAAAUUAAAUUUAUAAAUCUAAUGCAACAAAGGGAUUUAAUUUAGCUGAGUAAAUUAAAAGUUAAAACAAACAUAUGAGAGAUAGUAUCAAAACGAAACUCAUGUUAUGUUACAUUAUAAGCUUUCCAGCAGCAGUGCAAUAAAAAAAACAGUACAAUAAUAUAAUUUUUAUGUGUUCACUUUAUGUAGAAUUAAAUGAGCACCAUGUUCUGGCUUAAGAGUAACAACUGUAGUUGGAGAAUGAGUAUAGGCUGGAGAGAGUUCAAAUGAGAAAUGUUGUAAAAUUACUGACAAAGCCAUUUUUGCCUCCAAUAGAGAAAAGUUUUGUCCAAUGCAUAUUCUAGGACCCCAUCCAAAAGGAAAAAAUGAAACUUUCCCAUUUGUUGCUUUCAAUAGUCCUUCAGAAAAUCUCUCAGGAUUGAACUCCUUAGCAUCAUCACCCCAUAGUUCACAGUCAUGGUGAACCAAAACUGUUGGUAAUGAAACCUGAACCCCAGCAGGUAAUGUAAUGUUUCCAAGUUUCACAUCUUUGCGAACAGUUCGAGUCAGUGCAAUUACUGGUGGGUAUAACCUAAGAACCUCAUACAAAAUCAUGGUCACCUGUGACAAAAAGAAAAGAUUCAUGUUAGAAAUUCUAAUAUAAAAUCAGUCAUGUGUGAAGCUUCACUCAUAAAAUCGAUGACUAAUUUACUAACAUUAUUAACAACUAACAUUUGCCUAUAAAAAAAACUCAUAGUUAGUUCAUGACAUGGUAUCAGAGUCAAAGAACAAGUGGUCUAGAGUUUGAUACUUCUCAACCCUGUUGUUCUAAUAAAAAGUUGAGUUUCAUAACAAAAUAGAAUUGAAGGGCUUGUGAAUAUCCACGCUUCAAGUCCAAUGAGCUUUAGCGCGAGGAGUCUUGGUAGAAACGUAAUAUAAAUUCAAAUGUGAUCUAUCUACUUAAUGCCUUCACCUUUUGAGGUACUUGGUUGAUGACAAUUUACAAUAACAAUUAGUAUCAAGGGCAUGUUAUAUUUUUCAGCAUCAAGAGAAUAGAUAAUACAACACUUACAAUCUUAAGGUGACUUAGUCCAUCAAAAUCUGGUUUUUGGUUGCCAAAGACUUGAAACACUUCCUCCCUUGCACGCUCUUGCCAAUCAGGGUACCUACUCAACAACACCAUUGUCCAAACAAGCAAAACUGAAGUUGUUUCUUGUCCUGCAAAGUAGAAUAGCUUGCACUCCUCAAUUACAUCUUCAAGAUUCAUUCCCACAUUCUUAUUUUUUUCGUGUUCUUGAAUUUCCUUGUGAUUUGACUCCAGAAGAAUGUCUAACAAGUCAUUGUUUGUGGCUUCACCUGCCUUUAGUGCUCUUUCUCUCUUUUUAAUUAUAUCCUUACAUGAAGCUAAACCUUAAAAAAAACCACAACCAGUCCCAUAAUUAUGAUGAAAUGAAGAGUAUGAUGAACAAACUAUCACAAAACUUAAGCUAUUUAUCUUAUAUUUCUAACUUGUUUGAUUGAAAUAUAGACACUUGUUCCUAGACGCAUGGAUGCAAUUUAGAUUAUGUUUUAACAAAGGGAAGGUUUCCUUUAUAUGUCAACUAGCCUUCUAGUGGUUGUUAUGUCAACAGUAAACAAAGAUUGGUUUUCCAACAGCUCUUACAAUUUUGCUAUUGCUAGUUGCUGUUAGAUAACCUAUUCUUAUCACAGUAAUUGGUAAACUAAGGGGCAUUGAGUGUAACACAAGUUCUUAGUGCUACAUGUUCCUUUUGAUAAUAGUUUUAUCUGAAUGGGUUUUUUUUCCCAUUUGAGUUACAAUGGAGAGAAGAGAGAUACGACAUAUUAUCAUCAAAAUGUAUGGUAAGUGGUUGUUCUAUGAAACACAUUUCUCUGGUUCUUAACUAACUAAGCAUUAUUUUCUAAGCAACUGAAGUUAAAUAGAACUCAUUUAAUAAGGUUGGUCUUGCUUUCAUCAUCAAGCAGGUCACAUACACUCAUUAGUCAUACCUCCAUGCAGGGAUGCAAACAUUCAGAAAAACUUUCAUUACGAGUUCACCCUGCUCUUGUAGAAGUUGAAAUAUUCUUUUUCCUUCUUCAUAACUACUCCCAAAUGCUGAUCGAGAUAUAACGUCACUAGCCAAAUUCUGAAGGAAAGGCCACACAUCCAUUUCGCACGAUCCAUCAGAAGACAACAUUCCUUCCCAUUUGCUAACUAGAUCAUCGCAACUUUUGAAGAAUAUUGGUAGCAUGAUCUGUGGUUUUAAAAAAUAACAAGGAGUUAAAAUUCCCCAUGUCAAACUAAGCACAUAAACAUUAAAACUCAAGAUCAUGUUGCUCAAAUCAUAAAUUUUGUGGCAUGUCUUCACUACAUCCGGUAACUGGUAACCAACCUUCAAUUUUUCUAAAUUGAAUGCAGGGUUGAUUAUCCUUCUGUGCUUGCUCCACUUUUCUCCUUCAUGGUUAGCAAGACCAGUAGCUAGUAACUUGACAAGCGGAUUUGUAUUAGGUUUCGGGAAAUCAUUGAUCUUGUUAAGUACAUCUUUGAUAUGCUCAGGAUCUGUGAGGGUCACCCUUGGUAUUGGCCCAAACCAGAUGAAAGAAUUCUUUCC